rnacentral:rRNA from 1 species
AACGAACGCUGGCGGCAUGCCUAACACAUGCAAGUCGAACGAGACCUUCGGGUCUAGUGGCGCACGGUGCGUUACGGGUGGGAAACUGCCCCUUGGUUCGGGAUAAAUCCCCGGAAGGGGUGCUUAAACCCGAUAAUGCUAUUGGCACAAAGGAUUUACCGCCUUUGGAUGGGCCCGCGUUGGAUUAGCUAGUUGGUAGGGUAAAAGCCUACCAAGGGGACGUCCCAUAGCUGGUCUGAGAGGAUGAUCAGCCACACUGGGACUGAGACACGGCCCAGACUCCUACGGGAGGCAGCAGUGGGGAAUAUUGGACAAUGGGCGAAAGCCUGAUCCAGCAAUGCCGCGUGAGUGAUGAAGGCCUUAGGGUUGUAAAGCUCUUUUACCCGGGAUGAUAAUGACAGUACCGGGAGAAUAAGCUCCGGCUAACUCCGUG